UACCAGCACCCCGAGUGGUCGGGACGAUUAUUGGGCCUAAAGCAUCCGUAGCCGGUCUUGCAAGUCUUCCGUUAAAUCCAGCUGCUUAACAGAUGGGCUGCGGAAGAUACUACAAGACUAGGAGGCGGGAGAGGCAAGCGGUACUCAGUGGGUAGGGGUAAAAUCCUCUGAUCCAUUGAAGACCACCAGUGGCGAAGGCGUCUUGCCAGAACGCGCUCGACGGUGAGGGAUGAAAGCUGGGGGAGCAAACCGG
rnacentral:rRNA from 1 species